UACGGAGGGUGCGAGCGUUGUCCGGAAUUACUGGGCGUAAAGGGCGCGUAGGCGGCCUUCUAAGUCGAACGUGAAAUCCCCGGGCUCAACCCGGGAACUGCGUCCGAUACUGGAAGGCUUGAAUCCGGGAGAGGGAUGCGGAAUUCCUGGUGUAGCGGUGAAAUGCGCAGAUAUCAGGAGGAACACCGGUGGCGAAGGCGGGUCUCUGGGCCGAUACUGACGCUGAGGAGCGAAAGCGUGGGGAGCGAAUAGG
rnacentral:rRNA from 1 species